GGGUAAGGAGCCCUCAUAGGCUGACCUUGAAGGAGACCAGCAUCCCAGACUCACCUAGGGCCCAGCCAGAUGGGAGUGUGAUCAUCACAGCCUCGUCACAUGCUUAGUCCCGUGCCUGCUCUGGGAUUCUGACAGCCUGUGACAGCUGCAGGGGGCCUGAAGCUUAAUGCGCAAGCAGGAUUUGGGCAGCUUGUUUUUCUUCCCUCAAGAAUCUGCUUGGAGAUAAUAAAGAUCAACGCCGUUCCUCGUAAC